GAUGAACGCUGGCGGCGUGCCUAAUACAUGCAAGUCGAGCGAACAGACGAGGAGCUUGCUCCUCUGACGUUAGCGGCGGACGGGUGAGUAACACGUGGAUAACCUACCUAUACGACUGGGAUAACUUCGGGAAACCGGAGCUACUACCGGAUAAUAUAUUGAACCGCAUGGUUCAAUAGUGAAAGACGGUUUUGCUGUCACUUAUAGAUGGAUCCGCCCCUAAUUCGCUAGUUGGUAAGGUAACGGCUUACCAAGGCAACGAUGCGUAACCGACCCGAGAGGGUGAAUCGCCAGAUUGGCAGUGAGAAACAGUCCCGACCCUGAGGGGGGGAAGCCGGAGGGACUCCUCCGGAAGGGGGGAAAGGCUAACGGUGGAAAGCCGCGGGAGGGAUGAUGGUUCUCUGAUCGGUAAACUCUGUUAGUAGUGAAGAUCAAAAGUUUAAGUAACUGGGCACGUCUUGACAGUACCUAAACAAAAAGCCACGGCUAACUACGUG
rnacentral:rRNA from 1 species